rnacentral:lncRNA from 1 species
UUGUGUUGCAGUAAAGUUGCUCAUUGAAUCCUCUUAGCCUUGUAUUUAAUUUUUUGCAUGGCUUGCUUUUUGUCAAUGUUUAGGUUGUAAGUUGAUUUAUUUGCAUUCCUAUUAAGUACAAAAUUAUCCAAGACGGUACAUAAACUUCUAUUCAGACCUCAGAUUUGCUCUUCCAUGUUCAGGCUGUAUCUUGAAUUUCUUAUUGAUUUAUUUGCGUUUGUGUUAACUACAAAAUUACCCAAGGCGGUGCAUGAACUUCUAUUAAUAAUACCUCACAUUUCCUCUCUAUAAAUGAGAUGUGUGUUUCAUUUUCUUCCCUUCUCAAUUUAGUUACUACAGCUCACAUCAUUUUUUUUCAUACCAUUUGUUUUUUUAGAUCAAAGCCA